rnacentral:sRNA from 1 species
GCCAGGUGUGGUGGCGCAUGCCUGUAAUCCCAGCAGCUUGGGAGGCUGAGGUAAGAUGAUCAUGAGUUCGAAGCCAUCCUCAGCAAUUUAGUGAGGCCCUAAGCAAUUUAGGGAGACCCUGUCUCUA